CCUUACGGCUCAGUAACACGUGGAUAACCUGCCCUUGGGUCCGGCAUAACCCCGGGAAACUGGGGAUAAUUCCGGAUAACGCAUAUAUGCUGGAAUGCUUUAUGCGUCAAAUGGAUUCGUCUGCCCAAGGAUGGAUCUGCGGCCUAUCAGGUAGUAGUGGGUGUAAUGUACCUACUAGCCAACAACGGGUACGGGUUGUGAGAGCAAGAGCCCGGAGAUGGAUUCUGAGACAUGAAUCCAGGCCCUACGGGGCGCAGCAGGCGCGAAAACUUUACAAUGCGGGAAACCGUGAUAAGGGGACACCGAGUGCUAGCAUCAUAUGCUGGCUGUCCAGGUGUGUAAACUACACCUGUUAGCAAGGGCCGGGCAAGACCGGUGCCAGCCGCCGCGGUAACACCGGCGGCCCGAGUGGUGAUCGUGAUUAUUGGGUCUAAAGGGUCCGUAGCCGGUUUGGUCAGUCCUCCGGGAAAUCUGAUAGCUCAACUGUUAGGCUUUCGGGGGAUACUGCCAGACUUGGAACCGGGAGAGGUAAGAGGUACUACAGGGGUAGGAGUGAAAUCUUGUAAUCCCUGUGGGACCACCUGUGGCGAAGGCGUCUUACCAGAACGGGUUCGACGGUGAGGGACGAAAGCUGGGGGCACGAACCGGAUUAGAUACCCGGGUAGUCCCAGCCGUAAACGAUGCUCGCUAGGUGUCAGGCAUGGCGCGACCGUGUCUGGUGCCGCAGGGAAGCCGUGAAGCGAGCCACCUGGGAAGUACGGCCGCAAGGCUGAAACUUAAAGGAAUUGGCGGGGGAGCAC
rnacentral:rRNA from 1 species